AUUGAACGCUGGCGGCAGGCCUAACACAUGCAAGUCGAACGAGUGGCGGACGGGUGAGUAAUGUCUGGGAAACUGCCCGAUGGAGGGGGAUAACUACUGGAAACGGUAGCUAAUACCGCAUAACAUCGGAUUUGCCCAGAUUGGAUUAGCUUGUAGGUGAGGUAACGGCUCACCUAGGCGACGCUGCCUAGCUGUUCUUAGAGGAUGACCAGCCACACUGGAACUGAGACACGUGGCAGACGCCUACGGGAGGCAUCAGUGGGGAAUAUUGGACAAUGGGCGCAAGCCUGAUGCAGCAAUGCCGGGUGUAUGAAGAAGGCCUUCUGGGUGUAAAGUACUUUCAGCGGGGAGGCGUUACCCGCAGAAGAAGCACCGGCUAACUCCGUGCCAGCAGCCGCGGUAAGAC
rnacentral:rRNA from 1 species